ACCCCCUCCCGCCCCUCCCAUCGGGCCCCAGCCUUGGUUCAGCCUCUUCUCGAUGGCGGAGCCUUGCCCCAUGCGAGGGCUUUUGGGGAGGCUCUAGGCCGUCUGGGCACUUCUGGGGCUCCUCUCGGGCCCAGGCCUGGCUGAGCCUGGUGGGUUGAGGAUCUGUGGACUACAUUUCCCAGAAGACCGCGCACCAUGCUCCUCUUCCGCUUCCUCCCUGUUCCUGCCAGCCUGGAGUUCCGCUGUCAGAUCCAGGUCGGCGGGGGCGGGGCGCAAGUUCAGUCGGCGCUCUAACGUCCCCGCUUUUGGGGGGUCUUCUGCUGUCUCCCCACUGGGCCCCGGGCGCCGCGCCCCCCGCCCUCCAUUAGGAGCUCCCCCUUGCGUCCACCGCCCCCAACCCUUGGAUCCACGCGCACAGCUCCCCCGAGGUCCUAACUAUCGGGGUCUCUGUCUCCUGGAAAUGUCCCGCCUCUUCCCCGCCCCCACCUCUCAGGCCUGCCCCUCCCGUCCUGGCGUGGGCACAAUCUUGGAGGAGCCUGCGGUUCUCCCUCCUCUCCUCACCCAAAGGUCCUCCCCGCCCUGGGCUCUGCCCCCAGGACUCGGGAGUCACAGAAGCAAACUUUAUAUUAGAUUAGAUGCUGGGGAGGAAGCCUUCUUCCUGGUUUCUGUCUGGUGACAGGACUUCCCACACUGACCCAGGCGUCCUGGAGGUCUGGUUCUGACCUCCUAGGCAGCCUCCAUUCCUGGGGGUGGGGGUGGGGGGGGCUGGGACGGAUGGCCCUGCUGAGGAGAACACGGGAGUUCUCUUCUUUCUCAUAGUCACUGGACGUGCUGUCCUUGAGGACCCGGGAUCUUCUGUAGAAAAGGGCUCCAGUGGGCCAGAUUUCUAAGGAUCCCAGCACUGGGCGCCCCGUUUCCUUGCUUGGGGCCAGGGGCCCCGCCUCCCCGUUGUGAAUGAGAAGCCUCCUCCCCCUUUUAUGGUCCUACUAGUAGAAGAGUCUAGCACAGAGGAGAGGGUUAGCUUUCUACGAAUGAUGAGCAUUAGCUGAGAAAACGACAGCUUCGUGUGGUAUCCAGCCUUGCUGCCAGGCACUUGGACCGUAAGCCUGUCACCCAAAUGUUCCUGCCAAGCCCAGCACAGCCUGCUGAGUAGGACAUGAGACAGUCAGGGAGUGUGAGGCAAGUGAAGCAUAACAGAAUUCAUAAACCUGAUGUCACUUCACUCACCCAGACAGGAGUUGCUUGAGCCUUCUUCCUCCAGCAUCCAUGGAGCUUCCACUUGCUUAAAAUGGGAGACCAAAUCUCUGGGAACUGGAAGACCUGGGCAUUUGGAAUAAGGAAGGAAUGAGGAUGGAAAGUCUCUUGUCAUUUCUUCCCAGGUUCCCAGGACUCCUCAAGGAUCAUUUCCAUGUGACAUAUGAGGAUCUCUGGAGGAAAAAAAAGAUGAUGUGAAAUUUCUUCUCCACAAGCCAGCUAGGAGUCUAUCAGCCUUGGUGCAUGCCAGCAGUAGCCCCAUCCAUGCAAGCCGGCACUGAAUCAGCAGUGACUUCCAGAAUUCCAUCCCACAGGCUAGAAGGGGCCAGGCAACUGGUCAGAAAGAGAUUACAGAAGCCCCUUUGUUGGCACUGGGUGUAGGACUCUGUUGUAUUACCCCUCUGAGGAUCUGGGUCCCAAGCCUCAUUUACAGUCUCAGGAUGAACAGGAGCCCUAGCACACCAGAGCCUGUCACUUCAGUGGUGCAGGAAUCCUGGUCAUAGAUCCAGGGUACAAAAUAGUGCUUGUGGUUGUUUAUAGACUAAGACAGCAGUGACUAUGCCUCUUAUUAGAUCCUAUCACUUGGAAGAACUGAAACCUUACAGGAUCCCAGAACUAGCUCUGGUAUGAAAAACUUGAAACUUGAGACAGUGUCCCCUUCACCCCAAAAACAUAAAGUUAAAAGUCAUGAAAUAAUCUUGGGAAAAGAGAAAAAAAGAAGAAUCUAACCACAGACGUUUACUAGGGUGACCAGUAAAAGCAAAACAAAACUCAGAAGGGGAAAAUUAUGUCAAAAUAGCUCCAGGGAAAGCCUCAAACAACAAUGCCAAUUAGUCUUAGGUCCAAAAAGAAUUUCUUAAAGAACUCAAAUGAUAUUGUUCAUAUACAAUGAGAGAAUUAUAGGAAAAUUGGGAAAAGAAAGGAGAGUAAUGCAAGAAAAUAAUGAAGUCAGUACCUUCCUAAAGGAACCCCACAAAAUGGGAAAAUAUUUACAAAAUUUCACAAAAGAAAAUAUUCUUUGAAAAGCAGAAUUGGCCAUAUGAGAAAAGGAUGAAUGAAUUUUUAUUCAUUGAAGAAAUUCAAUUUUAAAAUGUAGAAUUAAUCAAAUGGGAAAAAAAACCACAAAAGUUUAUGAAAAAAAAUUCCUUAAAAUUUAGAAAUAGGCAAAUGGAAGGGAAUGACUCUGAGACAUCAAGAAACAAUUUUAAAAGUGAAAAGAAUUUUUAAGAAUGGGGAUAUAUGUGAAAAAAUCAAUUGGAAAAAUUACUGACCUAAAAAUAGGUCAAAGAGAAAUAAUUUAAGGAUCACCAGACUAUCUGAAUAUCAUGAUUUCAAAAAAAGAGACUAGACUCCUAUUUCAAGAAAUUAUUUAGGAAUAUUUCCCUGAUGACCUAGAAACAGAGGGUAGAAUAGAUAUGGAAGAAAUUUGUUGAUCACCUCCUGAAAGAGAUCCCAAAAUGAAAACUUCUAGGAAUAUUGUAGACAAAUUCUAAAGCUCUGCAAAAACUACUGUAAGCAGCCAGAAAGAUAGAUUUGAAAUAUCAGGGAGCCACAACUAGGAUAACAUAAGAUUGAACAGCUUCUACAUUAAAGGCUUGGAAUAUUAUAUUCUAGAGGGCAAAGGAUCUAGAAAUACAACCAAGAAUCACCUACCCAGAAAAACAAAUACAUAUUUUUAGGGGAAAAAUAAUUAAUGAAAUCGAAGACUUCUGAGCAUUUCUAUGAAAUAACCAGAGCUAAACAGAAAAUCUGAUUUUCAAAUACAAGACUCAAGAGACAUAAAAAGGUAAACAGGAAAGAAAGAAAAAACAAAGGAUUCAAUAAGGCUAGACUCUUUACAUUCCUAUAGGUGAAGAUAAUACUUGUUACUCUUAAGAAAUUUAGCAUAAUUAGGGCAGUUAGUAAGAAUUUUCAUAGAGGGCAUGGGUGUGAGUUGACUAUGAUGGUAUGAUAGCCGAAGGGGAAGAAAAUUAGGGGAAAGAAAGAUACACUGGGAGAAAGGGGAAAGAGAGGUAAAAUGGAGUAAAUUAUCUCAUAUAAAGGAAGUGGGAAAGAGAUUUUACAGUGGAGGGGAAGAUGGGGGCAGUGGGCAAUGUUUGAACCUUACUCUCCUCAGAAUUGACUCAAGGAGGGAAUAACACUCAAUGCGGUAUAGAAAUCUAUUUUACCCUAUAGGAAAGUAGGAGAGAAGAAUAAGAUGAGGGGAAGGGAACUGAUAGAAAGAAUGGAUGAUUGAAGGAAGCAGCGGUGACAGGAAAGAAAUAUAAACAGGGAUAAUAGGGUGGAGGGACAUAUAUUGUAAUCAUAACUGUGAAUGACCAAUUUUCCUAUAAAAAUGGAAGCAGAUAGCCAAGUGGAUUAAAAAACAGAAUGUGAAAAGAUGUUGUUUAUAAGAAACACAUUUGAUGCAGAAAGACACACAGAGAGUAAGGCACUGGAGCACAAUCUAUCAUGCUUCAGAAGCAAAAGAAGCAGGAAUAGGAAUCAUGAUCUCAGACAAAAAAAAAUCUCAUUAAAAGACAUAAAUACUAGGAAUUUAAUGAUCUUCCAUCUCAUUUUCUUUCAUCUCUGUUAAUAAUUAUCCAACUCAUCUUUUUAAGAGUUUUUUAGAGUUGAUUGUUUUGGAGCAAUUCUCUAUCAGACAGGUAAAACCACUUUUAUUUAUUGUUUUCAUUUCUUCUGUAAAACAAAGGAUGAAAAAUAAAAACUCUAAACAUACCCCUG